UACGUAGGGUGCGAGCGUUGUCCGGAAUUAUUGGGCGUAAAGAGCUCGUAGGCGGUCUGUCGCGUCGGUCGUGAAAACUUGGGGCUUAACCCUGAGCUUGCGGUCGAUACGGGCAUGACUGGAGUUCGGCAGGGGAGACUGGAAUUCCUGGUGUAGCGGUGAAAUGCGCAGAUAUCAGGAGGAACACCGGUGGCGAAGGCGGGUCUCUGGGCAACAACUGACGCUGAGGAGCGAAAGCGUGGGGAGCGGACAGG
rnacentral:rRNA from 1 species